AAAAAAAAAAAAGAAAAAAAAGAUUAGUUCAAUCGGUAAUAAUGAGAGCCUCCCUUUCCUAUCAACCAGGUUUAACUUUAUUGAGUAGUGCUUUAUGAUGAUUAUUUAUCCUAGACCAAUAUAGAGAAGUGCACUCUUAAGAUCGUCCCCCUUUCUUAUCAAUCAAGUUCAACUUUAUUGAGGAGCACUUUAUAAUGAUUAUUUAUCCUAAAUGUAUAAGACCAAUAUUGAGAAGUGCACUCUUAAGAUCAUCCAUAAAAGAUAAUUUUAG
rnacentral:misc_RNA from 1 species